CUCCGGCAGACCCUCCCUCCCAGACCCUCCUACUUCCUGGACAGCAUCCAUGCUGAAACAUGGAUGCUGUCCAGGAAGUAGGAGGGUCUGGGAGGGAGGGUCUGCCGGAG